rnacentral:rRNA from 1 species
AUUUGAAGAUACGUUUUUGACGUUCCGGGUUGRACUAAAUCCUUUGGGAUAAGGUAUCAUGGAGGGUGAGAAUCCCGUAUAUACCAACCRUAGGGAUGUUAUUUAAUACGUUUCUAAGAGUCGAGUUGUUUGGGAAUGCAGCUCUAAAUGGGUGGGAAAUUUCACCUAAUGCUAAAUAUAAGCGAGAGACCGAUAGCGAACAAGUACAGUGAUGGAAAGAUGAAAAGAACUUUGAAAAGAGAGUUAAAUAGUACGUGAAAUUGUUGAAAGGGAAACGAUUGAAGUCAGUCAUGCCSGUGGGAAUCAACUUAGAGGAAACUCUGAGUGCACUUCUUCGCUUGGCAGGUCAACGUCGAUUUUGGAUGUCAUAAAAUGAUUGGGGGAAGGUAGCUCCUUCGGGAGUGUUAUAGCCCUUGGUAGAUGUGAUGUCUGGGAUCGAGGAUUGCAAUGGAUACCCUUUGGGGCUAGCCGCCUGAUCUCUAAUUGGUAUUGGGUUACGGAUAGCAUGCUGACCGUGAUCUAAUUAUUGGUUAAAAGGUUAG